rnacentral:rRNA from 1 species
GGGGAAUUUUCCGCAAUGGGCGAAAGCCUGACGGAGCAAUACCGCGUGAGGGAGGAAGGCCUUUGGGUUGUAAACCUCUUUUCUUAAGGAAGAAGUUCUGACGGUACUUAAGGAAUAAGCAUCGGCUAACUCCGUGCCAGCAGCCGCGGUAAUACGGAGGAUGCAAGCGUUAUCCGGAAUCAUUGGGCGUAAAGGGUCCGCAGGUGGUCGUGCAAGUCUGCUGUCAAAGCAUGAGGCUUAACCUCAUAUCGGCAGUGGAAACUGUAAGACUAGAGUACGGUAGGGGUAGAGGGAAUUCCCAGUGUAGCGGUGAAAUGCGUAGAUAUUGGGAAGAACACCAGUGGCGAAAGCGCUCUACUGGGCCUGUACUGACACUGAGGGACGAAAGCUAGGGUAGCGAAAGGGAUUAGAUACCCCUGUAGUC